CACGUAGGGCGCAAGCGUUGUCCGGAAUUACUGGGCGUAAAGGGCGCGUAGGCGGACAGUUUAGUCAGAGGUGAAAGCCCAGGGCUCAACCUUGGAAUUGCCUUUGAUACUGGCUGUCUUGAGUACGGGAGAGGUGAGUGGAACUCCGAGUGUAGAGGUGAAAUUCGUAGAUAUUCGCAAGAACACCAGUGGCGAAGGCGGCUCACUGGCCCGGUACUGACGCUGAGGUGCGAAAGCGUGGGGAGCAAACAGG
rnacentral:rRNA from 1 species